rnacentral:rRNA from 1 species
UACGGGGGGAGCAAGCGUUGUUCGGAUUUACUGGGCGUAAAGGGCGCGUAGGCGGUCAGCACAAGUCAGUUGUGAAAUCUCCGGGCUUAACUCGGAAAGGUCAACUGAUACUGUGCGACUAGAGUGCAGAAGGGGCAACUGGAAUUCUCGGUGUAGCGGUGAAAUGCGUAGAUAUCGAGAGGAAUACCGGUGGCGAAGGCGGCAUCCUGAACCGACAUUGACGCUGAGGAGCGAAAGCUAGGGGAGCAAACGGG